GCUGAGCUCGGUAACGCGGGCCUGUAACCCAAGUGGGGGCUUUAAGGUGAUGGGACGUUGACUCAGCUUAGAAGGUUGGUUCCAGCCUGGCUCUUAUCUGGCCUGCCCGUUCCAAGCCAGGAGUUGAACCAAGCCAUCCAGGUGAAGACCUGGGUGACGUGGCUCCUAGAGUGGAGGGCACAGCGUGAGGCUGGUUUCACAGAGCAGCGAUCACCUUCCUCUCUUGGCAGUGGAAGGAUCACAGGCCGGUGUCAUCUGGAUCCGUAUGGCCUGAUGGGCUAGUCCUAAUUGGACCAUCACCUU
rnacentral:SRP_RNA from 1 species